CUGGUGCCAGCAGCCGCGGUAACUCCAGCUCCAAUAGCGUAUAUUAAAGUUGCUGCAGUUAAAAAGCUCGUAGUUGGAUCUCGGCAGUAUGGCUGCAUAUCGUUGCUCUUUGCAUUGGUCUGUGCGUCAGUACCAUUGUGAGAGUCGAUUACGCGGUUGUACAGCCUCUCAGCCGUUUCUGUUCAUACGGGUGCUGGCGUGGUCAGUCGGCUUGUAUGGCUGGCCUGUUGGCAUGCUUCUGGAUGCUCUUCAUCGGGUGUCCAGAGCGGACGGCACGUUUACUUUGAACAAAUUUGAGUGCUCAAAGCAGGCCUAUGUGCCUGAAAAGUCUUGCAUGGAAUAAUGGAAUAGGACUUCGGUUCUAUUUUGUUGGUUUUCGGAUCCGAAGUAAUGGUUAAGAGAGACAGACGGGGG
rnacentral:rRNA from 2 species